AGGAAGUGAUAUGGCUGGGCAGGGAAAGGGAUGUAAGGCGGGAGGAGACAGGAACUCUCUCUCACUCAGGCUGAGGAGUUGGUGAGGUAAGAGGUGGUGGCGGUGGCUUGCUCUGCUUCUCUGACCUUUCGGCUUUCACCCUGAUGUCUAGCUCCGGGUUUUUAUCACAAGACCAUGUAGGAUUUGUAGAAGAAGACUCCCUUCCAGAUGAUUUUAGACUGUCUCGGGUUGGCAAAAGCAACUCCACCGCUCUUUUUUUUCCAUGAGAUUCUUUCAUGCUUUUCUCCCCCGGCGUGAUGGCUUUCAUAUGGCUUUUUUUGUGCACACGUUUGUGUCUCCUCUUCUUUCUCCCCCUCCUCCAUCCUCCCCUCUUUCCCCUUCCUCCCUCGCCAGCCCCACUUCCGCUUCCGGGUCACGUGCCCUCUAGUACACUCUUCCAUCCACCCUCUCCUAAGAUUUCUUUCCCUCUCCUCAUGGUCCCACUUGUGAUUCAUGGCCUAUGACCUCCUACACACAUAUACAUAUCUAUUAAUUAGACUCUGGGGUCUGCAUAUGAGAGAAAACAUCGAUCUGUCUUUCUGAGUCUGAAAUGUUGGUUUUAUGCAGCAGUGCAAUAUUAUUCAUUAAGCGGCGCUGUUACCAUGCAAGAAAAGCCAUGAGGCACAACAAAACCCACUCUGAGAGUUUAUUAGAAGGGGGGAGAGGAGAGGGCGUGCUCAGGCCUGUUUGAAAGACAUUUGCAGAGAGAGAGGAAGAAGGAGAAGGGGGAAGAAAAAGCAGGGGGGAGGGGUCUGUGACCUGCACAUGCGCAUAUGGGCUACUCCACGCAUGCACACGGAUUCCAUGCUCAUGCUGUGCACGGAUUACGUAGGACAGGACGUAAGGCUCUGGGAUGACUAACCGUUUUUGCCAGCGCAUGUGCGGUCAUGUAGCUGGGGGAGUGGCCAAGGGCCACGAAUUCCAACAUGAAAUAUUUCACUCAGCCUAACAAUUUACAGUUCUAUUCCUUUUCCUGCAAAUGUGACUGCAUUCUUUUUUUCCUGGCUAAAUAAAAUUCCACUGUGCACAUGCACCGCAUUCUUACCUAUUCAUCUGUUGAUGGACACCGAGCCUACUCCAUGUGAUAGUCCUUCUUUAAAGGGAGGGAUGGCGCAAUGGUUAAGAGCACUUGCUCUUGCAGAAGACUCAGACUCAGUUCCCAGUGCCCACAUGGCCCUCACAACUGCUCCCUAUCUCAGAUUCCAGAGAACCCAAUGCCUUCUUCUGGCCUCCCCUGGCACCAGACCUGCAUGUGGUACACACUUCACACACAUACAGGCAAAACACUCAUGUACAUGAAAUAAAAAAAAUACUAAGUUUCAAAAAGGUGAUUCAUUAAUUUCAAAUGGAGAAAACACUCCAAACAUUUGUGGUUCCAAAGCCAAGAGCGGUGUUGCUAAGUAGAGGAAAUGAGAAGGUAAUUUUAACCUUAUUUUUAAAGAAACAGUAUGUAACUAUCCCAUCAUGGAUGUAUUAGAUGAAGAAUAAACCAUGACAAAUACUAACUGCCUACUGGGCAGCUUGGUUGAAGUAAAGGAAAAUGGGACUGUCUGAAGUUUUACAUGAACCCUUACCCUUGCCCUAAUUAUAUAUAUAUUCUGUGAUAGGUCUUGUAUCCAGGGGUUAUCACAUCCCAUAUGACAAGAUGAAGGGUCAACUUGCUACCCUUCCUGUGUUAAAUCGUAGACGAUCAUCUGUCCCUUUAACACAGAGGGCUUCUCCAGGGUUGUCUCCAUCACUGGAUGGAUGUUCUCUCUUUCAGAGUGUUCUUCUCCGUCCAAAGAAGCAGAUGAGCCAAGUUCUCAGAUCCUUUACCGGAGGCGGGAAGAUGGCUCUGAAGUAAAAUGUUUUCCACACAGCCUGAGGACCUGAAUUUGCUCCCCAGGACCCAUGAGAAGAACUAGAUGUGGAGACAGAAGUUUGUGGUCCCAGGGCUGGAAGACAGACAAACAGAUCCUUGGAAUUUGCUGGCCGGCCAGCCUAGCCUACUUGGAGAUCACUUCCUAAAUAUAACACCAGCGGCACAGACACUGAGCACAACAAUUAAUAAAUGGGAUCUCUUGAAACUGAGACGCUUUUAAAGGGCAAAAGAGACAGUCAAUGAGACAAAAAGACAGCCUACAGAAUGCGUGAGGUCUUCUGUUCAAUUACUAGUGCUAAAAAAACUAUACUGCAUUAGAACAAAUGAGAAAAGGUUCAUUAUGACUGGGGAUUAGAUGAGGCUAUGAAAUUAUUAUUAACAUCCUUAGAUGUGAUGAUAUAAUCAUGAUUUAUACCUUCAUCAACCCCACAUCUGACAGAGG